rnacentral:rRNA from 1 species
GAUGAACGCUGGCGGCGUGCUUAACACAUGCAAGUCGAACGGAUUUAUGAUGAAACCUAGUGAUUCAUAAGUUAGUGGCGUACGGGUGAGUAACGCGUGGAUAACCUGCCUUAUACCGGGGGAUAACACUUAGAAAUAGGUGCUAAUACCGCAUAAGCGCACAGAGCCGCAUGGCUUGGUGUGAAAAACUCCGGUGGUAUAAGAUGGAUCCGCGUCUGAUUAGCUAGUUGGUGAGGUAAGGGCUCACCAAGGCGACGAUCAGUAGCCGGCCUGAGAGGGUGAACGGCCACAUUGGGACUGAGACACGGCCCAAACUCCUACGGGAGGCAGCAGUGGGGAAUCUUCCACAAUGGACGAAAGUCUGAUGGAGCAACGCCGCGUGAGUGAUGAAGGUUUUCGGAUCGUAAAACUCUGUUGUUAGAGAAGAACGUGUGUGAGAGUAACUGCUCAUGCAGUGACGGUAUCUAACCAGAAAGCCACGGCUAACUACGUGCCAGCCGCCGCGGUAA